UGCAAGUUGAACGGGAUUCUAGACUUCGGUUUAGAUGAGAGUAGCGCACGGGUGCGUAACGCGUAUGCAACCUACCUUUUACAGGGGGAUAGCUCGGGGAAACUCGAAUUAAUACCCCAUGGCAUCAUAAAAUCGCAUGGUUUAAUGAUUAAAGAUUUAUCGGUAAAAGAUGGGCAUGCGUCUGAUUAGUUAGAUGGCGGGGUAACGGCCCACCAUGACGAUGAUCAGUAGGGGUUCUGAGAGGAUGAUCCCCCACACUGGUACUGAGACACGGACCAGACUCCUACGGGAGGCAGCAGUAGGGAAUAUUGGUCAAUGGGCGAGAGCCUGAACCAGCCAUGCCGCGUGUAGGAUGACGGCCUUCUGGGUUGUAAACUACUUUUCUACAGGAAGAAAAAGCUUAUGCGUAAGCAAUUGACGGUACUGUAGGAAUAAGCACCGGCUAACUCCGUGCCAGCAGCCGCGGUAAUACGGAGGGUGCGAGCGUUGUCCGGAUUUAUUGGGUUUAAAGGGUGCGUAGGCGGCUCUUUAAGUCAGUGGUGAAAGCCCGCAGCUUAACUGUGGAACUGCCAUUGAUACUGGAGAGCUUGAGUACGGUUGAAGUAGGCGGAAUUUAUGGUGUAGCGGUGAAAUGCAUAGAUACCAUAAAGAACACCGAUAGCGUAGGCAGCUUACUAAGCCGUAACUGACGCUGAGGCACGAAAGCAUGGGGAGCGAACAGGAUUAGAUACCCUGGUAGUCCAUGCCGUAAACGAUGAUCACUCGCUGUUAGCGAUAUACAGUUAGCGGCCAAGCGAAAGCGUUAAGUGAUCCACCUGGGGAGUACGUCCGCA
rnacentral:rRNA from 1 species